rnacentral:rRNA from 1 species
AGAGUUUGAUCAUGGCUCAGAUUGAACGCUGGCGGCAGGCCUAACACAUGCGAGUCGAACGGUAACAGGAAACAGCUUGCUGUUUCGCUGACGAGUGGCGGACGGGUGAGUAAUGUCUGGGAAACUGCCUGAUGGAGGGGGAUAACUACUGGAAACGGUAGCUAAUACCGCAUAACGUCGCAAGACCAAAGAGGGGGACCUUCGGGCCUCUUGCCAUCAGAUGUGCCCAGAUGGGAUUAGCUAGUAGGUGGGGUAACGGCUCACCUAGGCGACGAUCCCUAGCUGGUCUGAGAGGAUGACCAGCCACACUGGAACUGAGACACGGUCCAGACUCCUACGGGAGGCAGCAGUGGGGAAUAUUGCACAAUGGGCGCAAGCCUGAUGCAGCCAUGCCGCGUGUAUGAAGAAGGCCUUCGGGUUGUAAAGUACUUUCAGCGGGGAGGAAGGGAGUAAAGUUAAUACCUUUGCUCAUUGACGUUACCCGCAGAAGAAGCACCGGCUAACUCCGUGCCAGCGGCCGCGGUAAUACGGAGGGUGCAAGCGUUAAUCGGAAUUACUGGGCGUAAAGCGCACGCAGGCGGUUUGUUAAGUCAGAUGUGAAAUCCCCGGGCUCAACCUGGGAACUGCAUCUGAUACUGGCAAGCUUGAGUCUCGUAGAGGGGGGUAGAAUUCCAGGUGUAGCGGUGAAAUGCGUAGAGAUCUGGAGGAAUACCGGUGGCGAAGGCGGCCCCCUGGACGAAGACUGACGCUCAGGUGCGAAAGCGUGGGGAGCAAACAGGAUUAGAUACCCUGGUAGUCCACGCCGUAAACGAUGUCGACUUGGAGGUUGUGCCCUUGAGGCGUGGCUUCCGGAGCUAACGCGUUAAGUCGACCGCCUGGGGAGUACGGCCGCAAGGUUAAAACUCAAAUGAAUUGACGGGGGCCCGCACAAGCGGUGGAGCAUGUGGUUUAAUUCGAUGCAACGCGAAGAACCUUACCUGGUCUUGACAUCCACGGAAGUUUUCAGAGAUGAGAAUGUGCCUUCGGGAACCGUGAGACAGGUGCUGCAUGGCUGUCGUCAGCUCGUGUUGUGAAAUGUUGGGUUAAGUCCCGCAACGAGCGCAACCCUUAUCCUUUGUUGCCAGCGGUCCGGCCGGGAACUCAAAGGAGACUGCCAGUGAUAAACUGGAGGAAGGUGGGGAUGACGUCAAGUCAUCAUGGCCCUUACGACCAGGGCUACACACGUGCUACAAUGGCGCAUACAAAGAGAAGCGACCUCGCGAGAGCAAGCGGACCUCAUAAAGUGCGUCGUAGUCCGGAUUGGAGUCUGCAACUCGACUUCAUGAAGUCGGAAUCGCUAGUAAUCGUGGAUCAGAAUGCCACGGUGAAUACGUUCCCGGGCCUUGUACACACCGCCCGUCACACCAUGGGAGUGGGUUGCAAAAGAAGUAGGUAGCUUAACCUUCGGGAGGGCGCUUACCACUUUGUGAUUCAUGACUGGGGUGAAGUCGUAACAAGGUAACCGUAGGGGAACCUGCGGUUG